rnacentral:rRNA from 1 species
UAGUCCACGCCGUAAACGAUGUCUACUUGGAGGUUGUGGCCUUGAGCCGUGGCUUUCGGAGCUAACGCGUUAAGUAGACCGCCUGGGGAGUACGGUCGCAAGAUUAAAACUCAAAUGAAUUGACGGGGGCCCGCACAAGCGGUGGAGCAUGUGCUUUAAUUCGAUAAUACGCGAGGAACCUUACCAGGACUUGACAUCCUAGUCAUACAAUGUGGAAACAUGUUGGUCAGCUCGGCUGGACUAGUGACAGGUGCUGCAUGGUUGUCGUCAGCUCGUGCCUUGAGGUGUGCGGUUAAGUCCGUGAACGAGCGCAACCCUCGGUGUAUGUUGUACUUUUCAUACACGACUGCCUGUUUUACGCAGGAGGAAGGUGAGGAUGACGUCAAAUCAGCAUGGCCCUUAUGUUCUGGGGCGAGGACACGUGCUACAAUGGCCGGUACAAAGGGUAGCAACCCGCGAGGGGAGCCAANCCCAAAAAGCCGGUCUCAGUUCGGAUCGGAGU